UACGUAGGUGGCAAGCGUUGUCCGGAUUUAUUGGGUUUAAAGGGUGCGUAGGCGGCCCUGUAAGUCAGUGCUGAAAUAUCACGGCUUAACCGGGAGGGUGGCAUUGAUACUGCAGGGCUUGAGUGAAGUCGAGGUAGGCGGAAUUGACGGUGUGGCGGUGAAAUGCUUAGAUAUCGUCAAGAACACCGAUAGUGAAGACAGCUUACUAGACUUCAACUGACGCUGAGGCACGAAAGUGUGGGGAUCAAACAGG
rnacentral:rRNA from 1 species